GACGAACGCUGGCGGCGUGCUUAACACAUGCAAGUCGAACGGAAAGGCCCUGCUUUUGUGGGGUGCUCGAGUGGCGAACGGGUGAGUAACACGUGAGUAACCUGCCCUUGACUUUGGGAUAACUUCAGGAAACUGGGGGUAAUAACGGAUAGGAGCUCCUGCUGCAUGGUGGGGGUUGGAAAGUUUCGGCGGUUGGGGAUGGACUCGCGGCUUAUCAGCUUGUUGGUGGGGUAGUGGCUUACCAAGGGUUUGACGGGUAGCCGGCCUGAGAGGGUGACCGGCGACCUUGCUACUACGAUACGCCCCAGUCUCCUACCGGAGGCAAUAGUGGGGAGCCUUGCACAAUAGGCGCAAGCGUGUGGCAACAGCCCCCCGUUCGUGAUGACGGGCUUCUAGGGAUAAACCGCCUUCUACGGUGACGAAGCGUGCGUGACGGUAAUGAGUAAGAAAGCACCGGCUAACUACGUG
rnacentral:rRNA from 1 species